rnacentral:rRNA from 1 species
AGAACCUGCCUUGGAGUGGGGAAUAACACAGUGAAAAUUGUGCUAAUACCGCAUAAUGCAUUUGGAUCGCAUGGUUCUGAAUGCCAAAGAUUUAUCGCUCUGAGAUGGACUCGCGUCUGAUUAGCUAGUUGGCGGGGCAACGGCCCACCAAGGCGACGAUCAGUAGCCGGACUGAGAGGUUGGCCGGCCACAUUGGGACUGAGACACGGCCCAG